rnacentral:rRNA from 1 species
GGCGAACGCUGGCGGCGUGCUUAACACAUGCAAGUCGAACGGAAAGGCCCUGCUUUUGUGGGGUGCUCGAGUGGCGAACGGGUGAGUAACACGUGAGUAACCUGCCCUUGACUUUGGGAUAACUUCAGGAAACUGGGGCUAAUACCGGAUAGGAGCCCCUGCUGCAUGGUGGGGGUUGGAAAGUUUCGGCGGUUGGGGAUGGACUCGCGGCUUAUCAGCUUGUUGGUGGGGUAGUGGCUUACCAAGGCUUUGACGGGUAGCCGGCCUGAGAGGGUGACCGGCCACAUUGGGGCUGAGAUACGGCCCAGACUCCUACGGGAGGCAGCAGUGGGGAAUAUUGCACAAUGGGCGGAAGCCUGAUGCAGCAACGCCGCGUGCGGGAUGACGGCCUUCGGGUUGUAAACCGCUUUCGCCUGUGACGAAGCGUGAGUGACGGUAAUGGGUAAAGAAGCACCGGCUAACUACGUG